UGCUUCCCUGGUCUGACCUGGGACUCUGGGGAUACUGCCCCUGUGCUGAGUAACUGAGAUCUGCCAGCCCUGCAGCAGUGCCCAGCCUGCCCCAUCCCCUGCUGAUUUGCAUGUUCCCAGAGCACAGCCCCCUGCCCUGAAGACUUCUUAAUAGGCUGGUCACACCCUGUGCAGGAUUCAGUCCCAGUCAGGACACAGCAUGGACAUGAGGGUCCCCACUCAGCUCCUGGGGCUCCUGCUGCUCUGGCUCCCAGGUGCCAGAUGUGACAUCCAGAUGACGCAGUCUCCAUCCUCCCUGUCUGCAUCUGUAGGAGACAGAGUCACCAUCACUUGCCGGGCGAGUCAGGGCAUUAACAAUUAUUUAAGUUGGUAUCAGCAGAAACCAGGGAAAGCCCCUAAGCCCCUGAUCUAUUAUGCAUCCAGUUUGGAAAGAGGGGUACCAUCAAGGUUCAGUGGAAGUAGAUCUGGGACAGAUUAUACUCUCACCAUCAGCAGUCUGCAGCCUGAAGAUAUUGCAACAUAUUACUGUCAACAGUAUAUAAUUCCCCUCCCACAGUGUUACAAGUCAUAACAUAA